UGACCUCGGAUUAAAUAGGAAUACCCGUUGAAUUUAAAUAUAUUAAUAAGCAGAGGAAAAGAAACUAAUAGGGAUUACCCUAAUAACAGUAAGUAAAGUAGUAAUAACUCAAAUUUAAAAUUUAGCUUCAACCCGAAUUAUAAUUUAUAAAGGAAGCUUUUAGUAAAGCACCUUCUAAAUCCCUUAGAACAAAGCACUAUAGAGGGUAAGAGCCCUAUAUAGUCGGAUGCCAAUCUAAUAUAAAGCUCCUUCAAUAAAUUAAAUAAUUUAGGAAUACUAUUCAAAAUAGGAGGUAAAUUUCUUCUAAAAUUAAAUACCAGCUAGAAAUUAAUAGUAUACAAGUAGAAUAAUUAAAAGAUGAAAAGCACUUUAAAAAGAGGGUUAAAUAGUAUGUAAAAUUAUUAAAAGGGAAAUAUUUAUAAUUAAAUUUAUAUUGUUCCAAUUAUUUAAUAUUCUUACUAGUAUAUUUAGGAUAGUUCAAACUAGUAUCGAUUUUAGCGGAGGGAUAAAGGUCCGGGGAAUAUAACUCCUCUAGGAAUAUUAUAACCCCGGGCGUAAUACCUUCGCCGGGAUUAAAAUUCGUAUAUUUAUAAGGAUACUAGUAUAAUAGUUAUUAAUGACCCGUCUUAAAAUACGGACUAAAGAAUUAAAGUUUUACGCAAAUAUUUGGGUAUAAAACCCGUAUAUAUAAUAAAAGUAAAUGUAAGUAAGAGCUUCGGCGUAUUAUUAACCGAUUCUAAUAUAUUUAGAUAGAUUUAAAUAAAAGCGUUAAACUUUAAACCCGAAAGAUAGUAAAUUAUAUUUAAAUAGGGUGAAGCUAGAGGAAAUUCUAAUAGAGGUUCGUAGUAGUUCUAAUGUACAAAUUAAUUGUUAAAUUUAAGUAUAGGGGCGAAAAAUUAAUUAAAUUAUUUAGUAGCUAGUUACUGCCGAAGUUUCCCUUAAGAUAGUAAUAUUGUUCUUUAAUUUUAUAAGGUAAAGCGAAUAAUUAAAGAUUCGGGGGCGCUUUUUAGCCUUUAUUUAUUUUUAAACUUUAAAUAUAUAAGAAGCCUUUAUUACUUAAUUGAAUAUAAGUAUUCGAAUAUACUAAUAUUAGUAGGCUAUUUUUAAUAAAUAGAAUUAAUAAUAUAGAAUAAAUUAAAUGUAGGGUUAAAAUACUGGAGUAAACGCUUAUUAAAUACUAUAAAAAGCGUUAAUAUAUUUUAAUAGUAGGACGGUAGCUAUAGAAAUCGAAAUCCGCUAAGGAUUAUAUAAUAAUUUACUUACCGAAUAUACUAACCCUAAAAAUAAAUAGCGCUCAAAUGUCCCACCUAUACUCCGCCCUUAGGGUAGAAAUAAUACUUUAAAAAAUAAAUAGCCGUAGAAAUUAGUAAUAAAACCUAAAGCGUAAACCCGAAUUGAACGGCCUUUAAUAUAAAUCUUAGUAGUAGUAGUAAAUAUUUUAAUAAGAAUUUAAAAGACCGAAGUAGGGAAAGGUUCUAUAUAAAUAGCGGUUGGAUAUAGGUUAAUCGAUCUUAAGCUAUAGGGAAAUUCUAUUUUAAAGGGGCAUUUAUACUUUAUAUAGCGAAAAGGAAGCCGGUUAAUAUUCUAGUACCUAAAUAUAGGUUUUGUGUAGUAACGCAAUUAAACGUAGAAACAAUAGCGGAAGCCCCGGGCAGAGUUUUCUUUUCUUUUUAAUAGUUUAUUACCUUAAAAACAAUUUAUUUAAAAAUAGGGUUUAAUAAUUAGAAGAGUUUAAUACUUCUAUUAAGUCCGGUACACUCUUAACGUCCUUUAAAAAUCCGUAGGAAGGAAUAAUUCUUAUACUAAGUCGUACUUAUAAUUAUAAUAGGUCUUUAAAGUAAAUAGCCUCUAAUUAAUAGAACAAUAUAAAUAAAGGAAGUCGGUAAAAUAGAUCCGUAACUUUAGGAAAAAAAUUAAUUCUAAAGGUUAAAUAUAUUAGGCUUUAAAUAAACGCCCUAAAAAUAGAUCGCUACUAGCUAGGCAACCGGCUAAUAAUUUUUAAUAUCCGGCUAUAAAAGCCCUUAAUAAACUUCGGUCGUCCGGCGUAUAUUUAAUAACUAACUUAGAAUUAAUAUAAAUAGGAGGAAUUUAACUAUUUAAUUAAAAUAUAGUAUUACAAUAGUUAGAAAAUAAUAUUAAUACAAUAUAAUUUCUAUUUAAUACUCUAAAUAUCAAAGUAAAGAAAUUCAACUAAGCGCGGGUAAACAGUAGGAAUAACUAUAAUUCUCUUAAAAUAACUAAAUACUUCGUUAUCUAAUUAAUAACAUAUAUAAAUAAAUUAAUAAAAUUCCUACUAUCCCUAUCUACUAUCUAGCGAAACUAUAAUUAAAGGAACGGGCUUAAUAAAAUUAACGGAGAAAAAAGACCCUAUUAAACUUAACUCUAAUUUAAUAUUAUAAAAAGAUAUAGGAAGUAUAAAAUAGGUAGGAGCUUCGGCGCUAGUAAAAUACUACUACUCCUAUUAUUUUUUUAUUUAUUUAAUUAAGCGGGGCUAGAUUUUCGUCCAACUUCUAAUUUUAAGGUCCUUUGCAGGCCAACCCGGAUUAAAAAUAUUAUUAAAUAGGGAAUUUGGCUAGGGUAGUACAUUUAUUAAACUAUAAUGCAAAUAUUUUAAAGGGGGCUUAUAGAGAAUAGAAAUUUCUAGUAGAAUAAAAGGGUAAAAAUCCCUUUAAUUUUAAUUUUCAAUAUAAAUAUAAAUUAUAAAAGUAUAGCCUAUCGAUCCUUUAAUCCCUUAAAAUUUAAAACUAGAAGUACUAAAAAAGUUACUAUAGGAAUAACUAACUUAUAGUAGCCAAACGUUUAUAGUAAUAUUGCUUUUUAAUCUUUUAAUAUUGGCUCUUCCUAUUAUACUAAAAUAGAAUUCGGUAAAUAUUAAAUUAUUCACCUACUAAUAAGGAACGUAAAUUAAAUUUAAACUAUUAUAAAAUAGAUUAAUUUUACCCUAUUAAUAACCUUAUUACAAUAGUAAUUAAAUUUAAUAUAAGAGGAACUAUUUAUUUAAAUAAUUAGUUUUUACAAUUGUCCAACUAAAUAAUACUACAAUACUACUAUUUAUUAAAUAAUAAUUAAAUACCUCUAAAUUAAAAUCUAUACUAAAAUAUAAUAAUACUUUUAGUAUAUUAUAAACGUAUAAAAAUAGGCUCCAGCCUUGUAUUUUAAUAAGUAAUUCCUCUAUUAGCUUUAAAAUAGCUAGUAGUAAUUUAUAUAUUAUAAUUUUAAUACGUACUAAAUUAAAUUCUUUAUAAACGAUUUAAAUAUACGAAAGAAUCUUAUAAGUAGUAGAAUAGCCUUAUUAUUAUAAUUUAUUAAGGGUAAGCCCUCCUUCGCCUAAAUUUCC
rfam:Neurospora crassa OR74A unplaced genomic scaffold supercont12.15, whole genome shotgun sequence.